UUUGCCCUACGGGAGGCAGCAGUGGGGAAUAUUGGACAAUGGGGGGAACCCUGAUCCAGCGACGCCGCGUGAGUGAAGAAGUAUUUCGGUAUGUAAAGCUCUAUCAGCAGGGAAGAAAGAAAUGACGGUACCUGACUAAGAAGCCCCGGCUAACUACGUGCCAGCAGCCGCGGUAAUACGUAGGGGGCAAGCGUUAUCCGGAUUUACUGGGUGUAAAUGGAGCGUAGACGGAUAUGCAAGUCUGUAGUGAAAGGCGGGGGCCCAACCCCCGGACUGCUCUGGAAACUGUAGAGCU
rnacentral:rRNA from 1 species